rnacentral:rRNA from 1 species
UACGAAGGGGCUAGCGUUGCUCGGAAUCACUGGGCGUAAAGGUGCGUAGGCGGGUCUUUAAGUCAGGGUGAAAUCCUGGAGCUCAACUCCAGAACUGCCUUUGAUACUGAAGAUCUUGAGUUCGGAGAGGUGAGUGGAACUGCGAGUGUAGAGGUGAAAUUCGUAGAUAUUCGCAAGAACACCAGUGGCGAAGGCGGCUCACUGGCCCGAUACUGACGCUGAGGUGCGAAAGCGUGGGAG